rnacentral:tRNA from 1 species
AGGAUUAUAGUUUAAAUAAAACCUUUGAUUUGCAUUCAAAAAAUAUUAAUAUAAUUAAUUUAUCUUA